rnacentral:rRNA from 1 species
CGAGGAAUGCCUAGUAAGCGCAUGUCAUCAGCAUGCGUUGAUUACGUCCCUGCCCUUUGUACACACCGCCCGUCGCUACUACCGAUUGAAUGGCUCAGUGAGGCCUUCGGACUGGCUCAGGGAGGUUGGCAACGACCACCCCGAGCCGGAAAGUUCGUCAAACUCGGUCAUUUAGAGGAAGUAAAAGUCGUAACAAGGUUUCCGUAGGUGAACCUGCGGAAGGAUCAUUA